ACCAAUCACGCGCGGCGUGAUGAAAGGAAAGCUAACUACGUUGGGGGCGUGGAGCUAUCAUGCGAGGCGUAAAAGAUGCAGAGUUGCCAACCAGAGACCUCAGUUUCGAUCACGCGCCGCGUGAAACCAUUACACGCGCAGCGUAGUCAGGAGAUUUGCAACCACGCGCGGCGUGGUAGAUCUGGCGCGCGACGUGGUUGCGUUUAUUAUAUAUAGAAAUCUCAUUUUCUGCUGCAGGGGGUCGAAAAUUCUGCUACUGUUCAUCUACAUUCUGAUUUUUGGAGCAUUCAGCCAGUUGGAUCCGGAACUUCAUUGGAUAGC
rnacentral:lncRNA from 1 species